rnacentral:rRNA from 1 species
CCUACGGGUGGCAGCAGUGGGGAAUAUUGGGCAAUGGGCGCAAGCCUGACCCAGCAACGCCGCGUGAAGGAAGAAGGCUUUCGGGUUGUAAACUUCUUUUAUCAGGGACGAAGCAAGUGACGGUACCUGAUGAAUAAGCCACGGCUAACUACGUGCCAGCAGCCGCGGUAAUACGUAGGUGGCAAGCGUUAUCCGGAUUUACUGGGUGUAAAGGGCGUGUAGGCGGGAGUGCAAGUCAGAUGUGAAAACUAUGGGCUCAACCCAUAGCCUGCAUUUGAAACUGUACUUCUUGAGUGCUGGAGAGGCAAUCGGAAUUCCGUGUGUAGCGGUGAAAUGCGUAGAUAUACGGAGGAACACCAGUGGCGAAGGCAUCUCACGAAUCCGCGAUUGACGCUGAUGCACGAAAGCGUGGGUAUCAAACAGGAUUAGAUACCCUGGUAGUC